rnacentral:rRNA from 1 species
UACGUAGGGGGCGAGCGUUGUCCGGAUUUAUUGGGCGUAAAGAGCUCGUAGGCGGCUUGGCAAGUCGGGUGUGAAACCUCCAGGCUCAACCUGGAGACGCCACUCGAUACUGCUAUGGCUAGAGUCCGGUAGGGGACCACGGAAUUCCUGGUGUAGCGGUGAAAUGCGCAGAUAUCAGGAGGAACACCGGUGGCGAAGGCGGGACUCUGGGCCGAUACUGACGCUGAGGAGCGAAAGCGUGGGGAGCAAACAGG